GCCCCUCAGCUACCUAAUUAUAAUCCUCCUCAGGUGUGAACACCUUGUGUUGUGACAUAGAGCCACGUGGACAUGUGGUGAUUCCGUGAUGCUCUUUAGGUGUUUGGGAAUGCUCAUAGGAUGGUCCCUUUCAGGUGGGGGAAGAGUUCAUGCUCUCCAGGAGUCUCACUGUGUGACGGGGUACUCAGCUGCAGUCUGGGAGGACUGGUAAGAAAUGUUCAGGUUCUCUUCUUACCCAGAACUGGUAAGCAAUGUUCUGGUUUUCUUCUUACCCAGAAAUUGAUGAAAAAGUAAGCC
rnacentral:lncRNA from 1 species